GACGGAGGAUGCAAGUGUUAUCCGGAAUCACUGGGCGUAAAGCGUCUGUAGGUGGUUCGAAAAGUCCACUGUUAAAAAUUGAGGCUUAACUUCAAAGAUGCCGUGGAAACUUUCAAACUAGAGUAUGGUAGGGGUAGAGGGAAUUUCCAGUGGAGCGGUGAAAUGCGUAGAUAUUGGAAAGACCACCGAUGGCGAAGGCACUCUACUGGGCCAUGACUGACACUAAGAGACGAAAGCUAGGGGAGCGAAUGGG
rnacentral:rRNA from 1 species